GCGUCGGUGGUAUAGCGGUUAGCAUAGCUGCCUUCCAAGCAGUUGACCCGGGUUCGAUUCCCGGCCGACGCA
rnacentral:tRNA from 1 species